rnacentral:rRNA from 1 species
UAGGGAAUCUUCCACAAUGGACGAAAGUCUGAUGGAGCAACGCCGCGUGAGUGAUGAAGGGUUUCGGCUCGUAAAACUCUGUUGUUGGAGAAGAACGGGUGUCAGAGUAACUGUUGACAUCGUGACGGUAUCCAACCAGAAAGCCACGGCUAACUACGUGCCAGCAGCCGCGGUAAUACGUAGGUGGCAAGCGUUGUCCGGAUUUAUUGGGCGUAAAGCGAGCGCAGGCGGUUUUUUAGGUCUGAUGUGAAAGCCUUCGGCUUAACCGGAGAAAGUGCAUCGGAAACCGGGAGACUUGAGUGCAGAAGAGGACAGUGGAACUCCAUGUGUAGCGGUGAAAUGCGUAGAUAUAUGGAAGAACACCAGUGGCGAAGGCGGCUGUCUGGUCUGCAAACUGACGCUGAGGCUCGAAAGCAUGGGUAGCGAACAGGAUUAGAUACCCUGGUAGUCCAUGCCGUAAAACGAUGAGUGC